AUGAUCAUCAUAUUCCUCAGCAUAACCUUUAAUAUGAUCCUGGUUUCAGGUUCCUCUCUCAGUGACAAAGUUCACCAGACUCCAGCUGACAUGUACAAGAAGCCAGGAGAAAAAGCCCAACUCAAAUGUUCACACAAUAUUCAGUACUAUGAGAUAAUCCUCUGGUACAGACAGUCAGAGAAUCAACAAAUGCUUCUCCUGGGAUACAUAUAUGGAGGGAAGGAAAAUCUUGAGCCUGGAGUGACUGUCCAGAUGGGUGGAGGUGCAAAUCAAGGCGAGACCAGCACAUUAACAACUGAGGGACUCAGCCUGAACAGCAGUGCAGUGUACUUCUGUGCUGCUAGUUACCACAGUGCUGCUGUGAACAACUACAACCCUGCUUACUUUGGCCAGGGCACCAAACUGACGGUGUUAGAGUAUAACGUCACUGCACCAACUGUCAAAAUACUUCCACCUUCAUCAAAGGAGUGUAAAAACAAGAAGAAGACCUUGGUGUGUGUGGCCUCUGGUUUCUACCCAGACCAUGUGAGUGUGUUCUGGCAGAUCAGCGGGGAAAAUGUCAAGGAUGGUGUGGCGACUGACAACAAUGCCGUAAGGAAAAACGAGUCCUACAGCAUCACCAGCAGGUUGAGGGUCUCGGCCGAAGACUGGCGCUCGCCUGACCGGACUUUCACCUGCACGGUCACCUUCUUUAAUGGAACUGGUUACGAACCCCACUCAGACUCUGUUAAGGGCGCUUUAGGUGAAGGUGAAGGAGAAAGCUUCACAAAAGAGAACUAUGUGAGGACCUCGCAGGCUGGCAAACUCUCCUACGCUGUUUUCCUGGCCAAGAGCAGCUUGUAUGCACUCUUCAUCACCGCUCUGGUGUGGAAACUUAAGAAUUCAUCUGGGAAGCAGAACAACUGAGAGCUGAGCUGAGGCCUAAACAGACGCAUCAGAGGAACUGAGUCUCUUUGUUUCUGUAAAUCAAAUUAAAAACUGCCUUUUUCACAGAGCUCCAGUGCAUUUAUACUCAAUAAUAUUCCUGCUGAAAUAGAUACAGUAUAUGUAAAGCAUGUGAACAGUUUGUUUUUCUGAUUUUCUGAAUACUUAAUCAUGCUGUCUGUUUGUGUGUAACUGUGACUUUCUUUUUGCUUAAUAUUCUACUUAAUAAAAGAUUUUAAAAGCUUA